UACGUAGGGGGCAAGCGUUGUCCGGAAUCAUUGGGCGUAAAGCGCGUGUAGGCGGUUCGGUAAGUCUGCUGUGAAAGUCCAGGGCUCAACCCUGGGAUGCCGGUGGAUACUGUCGGACUAGAGUACGGAAGAGGCGAGUGGAAUUCCCGGUGUAGCGGUGAAAUGCGCAGAUAUCGGGAGGAACACCGGUGGCGAAGGCGGGACUCUGGGCCGAUACUGACGCUGAGGAGCGAAAGCGUGGGGAGCAAACAGG
rnacentral:rRNA from 1 species